rfam:Brassica napus, WGS project CCCW01000000 data, contig: 15170
GGAAUAUAAGAAACCGUCUCUUAACUUUUAACUAAAAAAACUAAGAACCGGCUCUUAAAUAUCUAAGCAGUUUUUAAGAUAUUUAAGAACCGGUUUUUAGCUUUUUUAGUUCAAAGUUAAAAGACGGUUUCUUAUAUUCU